rnacentral:lncRNA from 1 species
CUAUGCAGGAGUGCUCACUGGGAAAGCGACUAGCAGUUUGAUCAUACAUGCUAUGUGGUGAACAGAAUGAAGAGGGCAGAAGUACAGACAAGAAAAGGACCAUGGAGAAGAUCUAGACAGCUAAAAUUACUGGCUCAAACUAGAUUGCAGAUGGAGAUUUCUAAAAUUGUAUCCCUUGCUAACAUCGCCUGAAGCCACAAAUACAAUCAACG